rnacentral:lncRNA from 1 species
AUAAUAUGAAGAUGAUCGAGGAACAUCCUAACUUAUGUCAAACUCAUGCCGAGUGCAUCAAGAAGGGAAGUGGGAACUUUUGUGCUCGUUAUGCUAAUGCUGAUGUCGAAUAUGGGUGGUGUUUUGCCUCUGUAGCCGAAGCAGAACGGUACUUCAAAAUUGGAUCAAACACUGCAGUAAAAAGUUUGUUCAAGAUUGCCUCUAAAUCUAAAGAACAAGACUACCUUAAGAUGGCUUUGGAAAUUGCCACUUAAGAAUGAUAUGUCUAAAACCAACCAUGCAUUAUCAUGCAUGUACUACUUUAAAUAAAACAACCUUUGUUUCCAAUUUAUCAAUUGGAUUUCUUGAAUAUCCGUUUGGAUUUUGAUAAAAAAAUGCAUGUGCAUGGGUGUGGUAUUGUAAUAAAAAAGUAUUGUAGUGUUACUUUGAAAAUAAUGCUUUGACUCCUACAUUACUCGUUCUUUUAAUUUUGCACGUUAUAACUUGUUUUAAUUUAGUUCUUACAAUGUUUAAAUUUCAUUUUUAUAUGGAGCCAAACAUAAAAACAAUUCAGGUUACAAAUCAUGAAAGAGGCCGUUAAAGGACAAAUACUUUCGUAAUAAAAUACCUUAUGUUUGGUGGUUGAAAAUGGUUGAAAUGUGAUGAAUUUGACCAAGAAAGCACGAAGUUAGAUGGUUUCCAUGUUGAAUGUUAUGGGAAAAAAGAAAAAGAAAAAAAAAUGGAGCUUUUAUUAGCAGAUAGAGAGCGCCAACACAAAUCAAAUUCGGUAGCCAUUUUUUGUCUGCGUUGCGGUAUUAUCUCAUCCCGUAAACCAUGGUCGCCGAUGUGGAGUACUUUGGCUUGGAGUAAUUUAGUGGCUAGAUUCAUUCACAUUAUGCGUGGAGAAAUGGAGAAUCUGGGGUUCAAACCCCAACCCUUACACAUAAUGUCUUUGAUAGCUAUUAAUUGAGCUACACUUACGAGAUUUCCAGAGUUAUAUUUCCGCAAUUAAACAAUCUUAGUUUUCACUCAUCAGCUGCCUCAUUUAUUUGUUACUUCCACUAAGUUGUCAUUUAUUUGUGAGAUCUCAGGACUGUUUGUAACAAUGAUUUACCCGAUUCUAUUCUCUCUUUGACGCUGAUGAUGAUGAUUGCGCUAAGCCCUUUUCAGAUUUUAACAAGAUGAAUACUUUGAUCAUUGAAUAUUGUAGAGUUCUGAACCGAUAAAUUCUUUGUAUAUCAAAAUACAACACACACUUGUUAAUUUAACUAUAUCUGGAAACGGAUAUUAUCACGAAAGUUACAAAUGCAAAUUAACUGCUCCGCCUCCGAGUAUUUGUAACUUUGCUUUUCUGGAUACUCCAAGUCAAAAACCAUGUCACAACAAUCUUUGUUCCUUUAAAACAUUGGUGUCAUGUUGGAAGAAAAAUUGAAAGAUUAAAAUUAUACUUUGAUAUAGUUGUGUGAAUUGAAAAAGUAAAGUGUGGGUCUCACAUAAAAUAGAACACACCGUAAUGUUUAAAUUUCGGUAUUUAAUUUUAAAUGCUUGAUAAUGAUAAAAAUAAUAGUAAUUAUUAUUUUUAUUCGUGAAUAUCACUUCCCAUAAUUAAAUUUAGCUUAUGGUGAUUGUGCUAAGAAUAUGAAUAUGAAUAAGAAUUUAAUUGAAUUUCUUAUAUUUACUUCGUUCAAAUCCAAUGAAUUUGUUUCCUCCACUUUUGUGGAUUUGUUUCUUUUUGAUCCUAUCUACAAGUGUUGUUGAACUGAUUAAUGGAUAAGUUCCUUUUUAAUCUUAUCCAUUAGAGUAAUUGUUGCCGCAAUUUUUGCUAAAACAGUUACAAAAUCUCUAUAUAAAUAGAGGACUCUCACUUGGUUAAAAAAAAAUUACACCAAAGAGUUUCUAUGCCCCGAGAAAGGUCUGUUGCGGGCUAUCAUUUGUAUCUUAAGGUAGUUCAGUUUGAGUUGUCGAGAACUCUUUCUCUCUUCACCAUAUAUAACUUGUGUUCACGAGCUAUUAUUCUCCUCAUUUCCUUUUUCCGCCCCUUCAAAAAUAAGAGUAUUCGUAAGACCUUAAUCCCUAUUCGGAAUAAUGUCCCUUCAGAAUUAAGAAAUGUUAAAAACAUAGUCUCUUCGAUAACAUAUGUCCCUUCGAAAUAAAUAAUACUUUUAAGAUCAUACUCCCUAUUUGAAAUAAUAAUGUCAUGUGGAAAUUAAGAAUGAUCUUAACGGUAUAUAAAUAUUAUUUUAAUAUUUUUCUACUUGAGAGGAAAAAUAAAAAAUCGAAAUGGUAGAAUCACCAUAUUUGAGGGGUCGUAGUGCCAUAUUGAUAUAUUGGAGAACUUAAAGGUUAGAAUGGUGGUAAUAAUACAUUUUUAAAGUGGUUUAAGUAUUAAAAGAAUAGUCUUUGCACCAUAUUGGAGGUGUAAAUCUCGAAUGGUUUUCUACAGUGUAGCAGUUAACCACCCAUUUGUAGUUGAGCUUGUUUUAUCCUGGAGGCGGUGUGGUUGAUAGUCUGUCUUGCACAACUUUGGACAGUGCCACGAAACGUCUUAAAGAGAGCGACCUAGUCGUGAUUCAACCUAGUAACAACUUCGGUAGAUAUUCCUUUUUAAAAUAGAAUUUGAAAAUCCAAAUACAACGGUUUGUAAAUCAAAAAACAACAAUUUUAAGACGUUUCAGACUGCUAUGUCUACCAAAGAAUUUACUCAUUGAGGUUUCGUUGUCCGUAAAUACAAGGAUAAAAAACGCUAGAAAUACAUAUAUAUACUGAACUUUAUGAAGUGAUUCUUGUUAUAACAACAACAAUAAGAAAUUCACAGAUGCGAUUUUGAAUAUGUUUGAAAUUUAUUUUCAAAAAUCAGAACCGCACUGUGAAUAAAUAACUAUAAUUGCCAAGAGAAUAUGAACCCCAAAAAGAUCCUAUAUUGGAAAUCAGGAGCCCCCAUUAAGAAAUGGCAUGGUUGAAUACAAUUGUGAGAAACCAUGUCAUAUGUCCCGCAAGUAUAUAAACAAGUAAAUUUCUACUUUGCUGCCUAACCUAACGAAAGAGAAAUUCACUGAUAUGACUAGUUAAGGGCCCGUUUCUUAUAGCUUUUUUUAAAAUAGAUUUUGGUAGUGUAAUGUGAUUUUGUUAUAAUUUUUUUAACAAAUAAAUUUUCAAUGAAAGAUUCAAAUGAAAAAUCCAUUUGAAUAGUUUAUCUUAAAAUGUCAUUCUAAGUAUUUCAUCAUUUGGUUAUAAUUUUUUUUAAUACUAAAAUUUUGAAAAAAUCUGUAAAAAAAUAGCUUUUCAUAAAAAUCAUUUUUGAAAGAUGUCAUUUUGAAAAAAUAUGUGAUUUUUACUAUGUAAAAUCUCGAGCAAUGAAUAUUUAAGUUAGUGAAUGUCAAAUGAGUUUGAAAUAACUUAUACUAUUUUUGAGUAAAUUUAAAAAAAAAAAAAAUCAAUUUUUAAAAAUACAAAGGAAAAUCCAUUUUUCUAGAAUCUAAAACAAACAGGCCCAAAUCAUUCUAGUUUGUGAAUUAAGUGAAUGGUGGAUAAACACUAGUGCAUAACGCCAAGUUUGUUAUGAUUAUGUGAUGUUCAAAACAUAUGCUACUGCUGAGAAUAAGAAAAUGUUGUUAUAAUAUUAUAACAUCAUUAAGGUCAUUGACAUUGGAGAUAUGAAGUUGUAAUUCACAUCCGAAAAGAAAAUUAUUCUCUAGGACGUAAUGCAUGCUCCAAAAAUAAGAAAGAAUCUAAAUUUCAGAUUUUUACUGAAUAAGAUUGAGCUGACUCAGACAUAAAGAUUGAAAAAUUAUUUAAUAAGAAAAACAAUAAUCUCGUGGUGAUAGAAGCACAUAAUCCCCACAUUUUCAAUGAGUUUUCUUUAUAGUACACAUUUAUUCAUGAAACAAAUGCAUCUUAUUAUCCUGAAAUGAACGGUAAAGCAGAAAAGAAAAAAUUAGAAUCUUUACCGAGGCAGUUGUUUAAAUCAUGUUCAAUUUUGGUAUUGUAUCUCAUUGGUGAGGGAAAUUUUAUUAAUUGUUUGAUAUGUUCUAAAUAGAGUACUCAAGUCUAAGAACAAAAUUUCUACUUAUGAAGUUUUGACGAAAAGACAAUUCAACUUGUUUUAUUUUUGAAGUUGGGAUUGUCUGGAGCUCAAGAGAGUUGAACUCGCUAGUAGUUAUGAAAAUAUCGUAUGAGAUGUUAUAGAACCUCAAAGAGGUAAUAAAGCUAUAAUUGUUAAAGAAUAUAAAUCUAAUUAUAUGGUUUGUAUAAUUGAAGAGGAUCCAUUUGGCCUUCAAGAAGCUUUGUCUUCAUUGGAUGCAAACUCUUCAUCGGUUGAUUUCUUAACGCUCACUCUUUUAUUGAGUUAAAUCAACGUAAGUCCCACCACUACACCGUUGUUUCACGAGGGGAGUCUGGGGGACCGACCACAUCGUGGCUAGAACAACCGCACAAGUAAGAGAGACACCACACUCUUACCCAAAACCUUAAGACAAUGGGUUUAUGGGUCCUCUUACUUAUAAGGUGUUCAACCUUUACUUUUCUAUCCGAUGUGGGAUAUAUAACUUACACUUGCACACAACAACAAACACUUGGGUGCAAUUUUUAAAGUGUAGGAACCAUGUUAAUUUCAUUCAAUAAAAGAGUGAGGGUUAAAGAGACCGUUGAAAAAAAGAGUGUUAGCAUCUUUCAACUUCUAAAAUAUUUAUGUUUCUGGUUUGGUUUUUUGCCUCCUAUGUUUUUGUUUCCCUUGGUCGCUGUGGUUAUAACUUAAUAUCAAUGGAUGAAUUACAAAUCUUUUGCGUAGAGAAACAAAUUUUACUUGUAUACUAAAAACAUGAUGGGAUCCGAUCUCAACUUAAGUGGAUGUUGUGUUGUAAGGAUUAUAUUAUUUCCUUGUAGUAUUGAAUGAAAAAUUGAUGGUGGUUUGAAAGAAAAAAAAAAAACUCUUUAGGUCAAUGAAGGUUUAUAUCAAGGGGAUUGACUAGGUAAUAACAAUGUAUUACGAUAAAUACUCUUACAGUAACCUUUGAAAAUUUAUUUAAUUUGGAGAGCACGGUUUGAUGUGGAUUAGAGUCUCAUGCAUCUUGAGCACGGUUUCUUGAGAUUGUUGUCAAUUAAGUGAGAACAAGUUAUUUGUCGUACAGUGUUUGCUAAUGCUUAGAUGCAUAACAAGUUUUUGUCGCAGUGUUUCUUCUUUUGUCUUCAAUUUUAUGCUUGUGCAUAUUUUCAUUUAUGUGUGUUUCAAUUUAAAAAUGUUUGUUCUCUUAUUUUUCUUUGCUAUUCUACAUUUUGUCCACUGUUGUGCUUUGGCCAGAAAUAUUUUCAAGACUUUUCCUUUUAUAUCUGUAUGUGCGUUCAUUCAAAACACAUUUUUCACCGCACCUAUCGAUUUGUUUAUAUCAUAUCUUUGUCUAUUUGUUCAAUUUUCAUAUCAAGUAUGUCUGGUAUUCAAGUUGGAUUUGCACAACCAUUAUUCUGUCCCCGAUGUGCUUGUUAUUUGAGUGUCCAGUUUGUAGAGUUUCGAUUAGUCAUGUAAGGAAGGGAUUUAAGAUUGUGGAGAUGAUAAUACCGAAACCGAUGGGAAAAGCAUUGCAUGAAAACCACUUGCUUCACCUUCUGGUCUUUAACUCUUAGGUAUAUGCUCUUGAAACUGUUUCUUGUCGAGGUUAACAAACUCUGGUUUUAUUUAUCACUGCAAUAGUUAAGCUUCUAAGUGAGUUCGAACCAAAAGAAACUCUUGAUAGAAUCUUGCCCUCUCCAACAAGUCGGCUCUAGUUUUCUCUCUCUAGGUUUUCUUUUACAAUUUCUUCAUUGAGGGGUGGUUUUGAGUCAAUUCUUGACCUGAAAUCAUCUCUCUUCAUCUUUUCCUCUUUAUUUCAAUCUAAAUAAGUGAUUUUCACAAAGAUCUAGGUUUUUUUUUUCUUUGUAAUUUCAUUAUCUAAGUGUGGUGAUUUUGUUGUUCGUUGUCUUGUGCGGCGUUGUUUGAUUUCCCGUCUUCGUGCGGUGUUCAUUUGAUUCAUAUUGAAAGAUCGAUUGUUCAAUCAAAGAUUUGAGCGUCAACGUUGCAGAUCCGGAGGCAAUGGAUAUUCUAGUCACUUUAAUUUCAUCAUAUAUUUUUGUAGGCAUUAUGCCGUUAUAUGCUAUUAACUUGGAUGUUGUGAGUUUGUUCUUAGAUUCAUCCUUUACGUUUUUAGCGAUGUUGAAUGAUGUAAUCUCUCGAUUUGAAUGAAUGAAUAUCAUUUUAUUUUUGUCAAUUUUUUUUUUUUUUAUCAUGCAUGGAUAAAGCAAGUAAUUAAAUGAACUAUUAAAGUUUUGUUGUUACUCUGAACAGCGAACGAUUUAAUGUUGUAUAAUAUUUUUUCAUGGAUAAGGUCUUCAACUACAUUGUUUUUGCAGCCAAAAUUCCAAGACAUGAAGAACUAUGCAGAUUUAAAUAUAUAAGUACAAUGAUUCUCUUCUAUCUUCGUGGUGUUACGUCUACAUUUUAAUAUAAAUGAAAGGUAGAGUUCCAAUAUUUAAACCCAAAUACAUUAAUCUUCUAGUUGAUUUUAUAACAUUGUAAUAAAACCAUAAAUACAUUUUAAUAUAAAUAAUCAAAUAUACCUACUAAUAUAACCCUUUAUUAAACAAUGAUUUACAACAUUAUACACAUAAAAAUAAAAAUCAGAAAAUUAUGUAAUUCGAAAUUUUUUUGGAUUAAAAAAAUUGUCUAAUACUCUUAAAAACUUUUAUAUAUAAGAUAGAUAAUAUAUAUAUAAAAAAAAAAUCUUGCCAAGGAAAUUUGCAGCGAUUUUUCAUGGCCAAAAAAAGUUGCCAAGACUUAGGCCCUGUUUGGAUAAACAGCUUAUAUAGAUGCUUAUAGCAUUAGUGCUUAUAACAUUAGAGCUUAUAUCAUAAGCUAUUUAUGUUUGGAUAUGUACACUAAAAAGUACUUACAUAAAUUGAAGUGUUUGGAUGUGACAUUACAUAAACAAUUAUAGAAAUUUUAAAUAUUUUUAAUUUAAUAAAAAAAUCAAAGAAUUGAACCACAAUUAUCAAGAUUUUUUUUGAUAAAAUUAAUCAAGGCGUAAAAAAACAUUAUUAUAAUAUAUUAAUUAUAAUUAUAUAUAUAUAUAUAUAUAUAUAUAUAUAUAUAUAUAUAUAUAGAGGUAUAAUCAAUAUUAGUCCUUAAAAAAAUAUCAAUAUUCACAUAAGACAAAAUUAACAUUAGAGGUGUAAAUAAACAUAUCAUACAUAUAGAUAUUAGUGUGCAGUUUGUUACCAAAAAAAGACAAGUUAAAUUUGUUUUUUUAUUCAGUUUCAUUUUGUUACGUAACAAAAAAAUAAUAAAAAUCUUCUUUAAAAAAAUAAAUAAAAAUCUUAGUUACGUGUGUUACUUCAAUAAGAUAAGUAUAUAGCAAUUUUGUUACUCAUGCACCGCCAAAGAUAACUAACAUUAUAAUUAAAAUAUUCUUAAAAAAAAAUAUAAUUAAAAUAUAUGUUUUGAAAAAGUGGAUCCAGAGAGAAUCGAAUGAGGUUACAUAAAUUCAUAAGCUCCUUGUUAAGCCAGAUGGUAAGCUGAAAAUUUAGGCUUAUUAAAAUAUGACAUAAGCAACUUAUGAAACUAUGAUAAACUAUUUUUAUUUAUUUAUCCAAACACCUUUAAAAAGGCUUAUGGGAAUAGAUAAGCCCACAUAAGCUCAAAAUAAGCCAAUUCAAACGGGGCCUUAAUAACUAUUAUAUAUAAGAUAUGGGACGCAUAAUUAAACGAAACAAAAAUUUAGAAAGAAAUUGGGAACAACUUUUUUUGACUUCAAAAAGUUGUCUAAGAUACUUAAGAAUUAUGUAUAUAAGAUAUAACAUCUUUUAAAAAUUAGGAAGAAAAUUUGCAAUAACCUUUUUGGCUCCAAAAAGUUGUGUAACAGACUUAAGAACUUUAAUAUAAAAGAUAUAUGAAAUUUUUUUAAAAAAAUUAGGAAGGAAAUUUGCAACAAAUUGUUUGCCUCCAAAAAGUUAUUUAAAAGACUUAAAAACUUUUAUAUAUAAGAUAAGAUAAGAUCUAAUGAUUCUAUUCAAUCUUACUAGUGCGACGUCUAUGUUGUGCUGUUUGAUGUUUUGGUGCGGUGUUGUUUUGUUUUCUCGUCUUGUUGUGAUGUUUAUUUGCUUCAUUUUGUCAUAUUAUGUUCGAUCUAAAUUAAGUUAAUGACUUUUACGUCGUUAACGUUAAAGAUCCAAAAACAUGAAUAUUUCAAACAUUUUAAUUGUCAUAUUUGCAAGCUUUGUCACAUUUGUAAACAUGUUGUUGCUGUAUUCUAUUAAUGUGAAUAUUUAUUUUUGAUGAAAGGGAAUGAAACAAUUUUAACUUUAUUCCCUUUUAAGAUACCACAAAAUUGUUAAAUAUCACCAUCAAGCCAUCUCAUAUAUUCCUUUUUCCAGACAAUUAACGCAGUAAUAUAAUAUACUAAGGGUUUAACGCCCUCUUUGAAUUAUUUGUUUUAUUUGAUUAUUUUAUUGAGUUUAGAGUCCUUUUGAAUAAUUUAUUUGAUUUAUGAUGAUGUGUGUUAUUUUUGUGUUAUAGGUUGGUGUUUUAGUAGCAUAUUAUAUUAUAAUAUAUAUUAUUUGGUGUAGAGAUAUUAUAUUAUUUGUUGGUAUAAUAUAUAUAUAUAUAUAUAUAUAUAUAUAUAUAUAUAUAUAUAUAUAUAUGUUAUUUGGUGUAGAAAUAUAUUAUAUUAUAUUAUAUUAUCUAGUGUAGAAAUAUAUUUGUUAUAAAGAUAUAUUUGUUAUUGUUUAUAGAAAUAUUUUAUAUUAUAUAUAUUAGAAUAUAAUAUUGAGACUAGUAGAAUAAGAUUUGAAAAUUAAAUAAAUAUUGAGUUUAUGGGUUGUUAUGAGAUUUGAGAGAGUUUUGGGGGAGAAAGAGAAAUAAGAUAAAAUAGAAAAAAGGGUUAUAAAUAGGAGAAACCUAGUUUAGAAAAAACAUAACAUACGAUCAAGUUUGGAGAAAAGGGAGAACAAGAGAAGAGAAGAGAAGAACCAAGAGAGAGGAUGCCAAUCGAUUAACCUAAGGUAAGGGUGGGACUAACAUUCAAUAAUCUUGAGUCUAUGAUUCUGAAAAUUGUAUUUAACAUGUUGUAGGUUUAGUUUUUGAGAAUUUGAGAAUUAGGGUUAAGAGUGAUGAUUCUGAAUGAAAAAUAAUAUAGGUUGCUUUUUCUGAUUUUUCUUUUCAUCUCUGCCCCGAAUUUGAAAUAAAAACUGGUAUUGAUCAGUACAGAAUUGGUCUUAGGUGUAAACACGAAAGUUGUAGGUAUGGAUGUUAGCUUUCUAGUGCCGUUGGUUUGACUUCAAAAGGAUUUAUAGAACUUGAGUUAUAGUCAAAUUACUGCACGUAGGUCACAGUGAAUAAUUGAAUAUGAUUGAUGAAUUAGUAUAUGUAUGUAUAUGUUUGUGAAUACGAUAUUGUUCAUGAUUGAUGAAGUAUUAUAUGAAUGUAUAUAUUUAUGAGUAUGAUGUUGUUUAUGAUUGAUGAAUUAGUUAUGAAUAUUAAUUAUAAUAUUAAUGAAGAUCUGUGAAGCUGAUUUAUGAUGAUUUGAUGUUGUUAUAUUGUGAUAUAAUUGUAUAUGCAUUAAUUAGAUUAUCUGUGAAUAAUUGAGACGUUGAUUGACUUGCAUUUGAUAUUAUUAUGUCAUGCUGUUUUUGUAUACUGCUGUGUCGCUGUUGUUAUUUAACAAAGCUGCAUGAGUCGGUCUAAGUUGAUUAAGAUGAUGAAGUUCCAAAUUAUUGGAUUAUAUAAGAGGUUGUCGAUUUAAGAUGUUUAAGAAGUAAAGGCCAUGCAUUAGCAUUUCAGCGAUAGGGGCUUGAUGCUCUAGAGUAUAUUAAUACGCAAAUAGCGAUAGGGGCUUGAUGCUUUGGAGUAUAUUAAUACUCAAAUAGCGAUAGGGGCUUGAUGCUCUGGAGUAUAUUAAUACUCAAAUAGCGACGGGGCUUGAUGCUCUGUAUUGGUACCACAUGCAUAUAGAAGGUCUAAGUUGCAUAGUCAAGUCGGAGUCGCAUUUGUUGAGUCAAAGUCGUUGUUGAUGAAUUAUCAUCCAUGAGUUGUUAUGAAGUUGUUGAGUUGUUUUCUAUCCAUGUGUCGUUAAUGAAGUACUUAUGAAUAAUUAUGAUUAUGACAUCGUUAUGUUGUUUAUGAUAUUGAUUUUGAUGAUGUUUACGAUGUGAUGUUUAAGUUGUCAAGUUGUUGAAGUUGUGAUUCUUUAUAUGAACUAUUAAAGAUGUGAUAUAUGAUCUAUUAAUGUCUAUGAUGAAUAUUAUGAUGAUUUUAGGUUGUUAAAUAUAAUUGUUGAAUUAUAUGCUUAAUAUUAUUGUUAUGUGAAAUCUCACCCCUUCAAAAUGUUGCCCACCAUGGGUAACUUGCAGGUAACCAAGAAUAGUUGAUGUCGUGUGAGUUUUCUCUCUCGUGUGUCUUAGGUGCUCUGAUACGUAACGGGAUGAGAACUUUGUUAUUGCUUUUCUAUUCCUUACGUAUUGUUUUUGAAGAUUUAUGACUAUGUUUUUAGAUUGGAUUUUUAUGAGACAUUUAUGAAGAGGCCUUCGUGCCAAAGACUGUUUUAGUUAUUGAAUAAAUUCCGCUGCGAAGUAUUAAAGAUCUUGUAUUUGAAUUUUAAAGGAUAAAUAGUUAUUUAUUCAGUUUAUGAUUUUAAAAAAAGAAUGUGACAUUCCGUUAAAGUUGAAAAACUCUGAUUAUUUAUGCGAAAUUUUUAUGUUGGGAAAACGGGGUGUUACAAUUGAUGUUGUUGGAAUGACUUUAAGAGAUUUUAUGUUGAGGCCUUGGCGCCAAAGAUGUUUUAAAAGUUGAAUAAUUUCCGCUGCGAAGUAAUAAAUAUUAUGACGUUGAAUUUUGAAGGAUAAAUAGUUAUUUUAUUCCGUUUAUGAUUUUAAGAAAAGAAGUGUGACAUUCCGUUUAUGUUGAAAUACUCUGAUUUAUAUGUGAAAUUUUUAAGUUGGGAAAAAUGGGAUGUUACAAAAUUGACUUUUUUGAAAAGGUUGAUUGUUUUGUCAAUAAUAUAUCUGUUGAUGCCAUGUCAGCUAAUGUUCUGAUGGUGAACCACUAUAAGACUAAACUUUACCUUAUUACAAAUAACUCCUUAUACAAAAUAUUAAUUACUUUUGAUUUAUUUAUUAACUUAUUAUAUUUAAAAUUAAAUCAUUUAUUAAUUAAUGCAAAUCUCAUUGGCAAAUCUGGAUUAGCUAAGAACAAACGACCAUAAACAACAAGAUCUGCCUUAUUUCUGAGAUGUUGCCACAAGGAUGAACUUUUCACAUAAGCUAAUACAACUUGCAGCUGGCGUCUGGGCUCUUAGGGGGCGAGGUGUCCCACUAUCUUUUCAAUUGCGGAAGUGGGGCCCACUAAAUGUAGAAAAUAUAUAGGAUGUGUUUGGUAAAAAUAAGCUAUAAGCUAACUGAUAGCUGAAAAGCUAGCUUAUAGUUGAUGACUGAUAGCUUAUAGCUGAAAAGUUAACUUAUUAAAAUAAAAAGUGUUUGGUAAUAUUAGUUGUUGAAGAGCUGAUAAAUAUAAAAUUUCGUAAAAUGGUAUGAUUGUUUAUUUUUAUUUUUUUAUAAAUCAUAUAUACAAUUUUAAUUACUUGAUGUAUUUCUUUUUAAAUGUUUAAAUUUAUUUCAAAAUAUUUUCAUCUUCACAAUAAUAAAUGUGCUUUAUAAAUUCUAUAAAUUUUCAUUUUUUGAUGAGUUUUAUUUAACUAUACUUGCUUCAAUUUUUAUUUAUCAUAUAUUUUAUUUAAAAAUAAAUAUUAUAUGAAUUAAAAGGAUGGUCAUAAAAAAAGAGAACAACAUAAUAUAGAAAACUAUGCGUAACUAACUAGUAAGCUAAAAGUGAGGUUGGUUGCAUAAGCAAUAUGUGGGAACGUGGGGGUUUAUUUUUAUAUAAAAAUAAUAAAAUUAAAUUAACAAGGUUAAAACUGGAAGAAAUUAUAAGAAUCUAUAAGCUAUAAGUUUAAAAGCUACUUGAAAUAGCUUCUCAAAAAAAGCUAUAAGCUCACGAAAAAAGCUUGUUACCAAACACGUCACAUUUUGAUACAACAAGCUUAUAAGCUAAUUCAACAAGCUAUAAGCUAGCUUCUUGUUGUUACCAAACACAGGUUUGUUUGGUAAAAAGAAGCUAUAAGCUAGCUGGUAGCUGAUAGCUGAAAAGCUAACUUAUAGCUGAUGGCUGAUAGCUGAUAACUGAAAAGUUAGCUUAUUAAAAUAAAAAGUGUUUAGUAAAAUUAGUUGUUGAGUAGCUGAUAAAUAUAAAAUGACGUAAAAGGGCAUGUUUGUGUUUUUUUUUAUAAAUCAUAUAUAUAAUUUUUAAUACUUAAUGUAUUUCUUUUUAAAUGUUUAAAUUUAUUUCAAAACAUUUUCAUCUCCUAAAUGAUAAAUGUAUUUAUUAAUUCAAUUGACAAUUUUUAUUUAACAAAACUUCCUUUUCAUGAAUUUUACUCAACUAAACUUGCAUCACUAUUUAUUGUAAAUUUUAUAUAAAAUUAUCUAUCAUUGAAUUAAGAGCAUGUAAAAAGGAACGUGAACAAGAAAAAUUGAAAAGCCAUAUCAUGAUGCUAAACGUGGGCAGUUAUGGGUAGUUUUUUUAAUUAAAAUUAAAUUAAACUAAAUUAAUAAAAGGUUAAAUUUGGAAGAAAAUAUAAAAAGCUAUAAGCAAUAAGCUCAAAAGCUACUUGAAUUAGCUUAUCAAAAAACGCUAUAAGCUAAUGAAAAAAGUUUUUUACCAAACACGUCUCAUUCUACAAAAACAAGCUUAUAAGCUAGUCCAACAAGCUAUAAGCUAGCUUUUUUGUGUUACCAAACACAGCCAUAAUAGUUUUUGCAAGUUUAUAUUGUAACAGACUAUAUUUAUCUUUUACAAAGACAAUAAUAAUAUAACAUUUUUAUAUUUGAAUUUAUUUAAUGUUAUAAAAUAGGCUAAAUUGCAUUUUUGGUCCCUUAACUAUUUAGGUAGUAUCAUUUUGGUCCCUUAAUUAAAAUUCGAUUUAUUUUGGUUCCUUAACUUCUCUUCGUUACACAUUUUGGUUCUUUCCGUUAGUUUUAAUUCAAAAAUGUUAGGUUUUCUUCAUCUUCUUCUCCUCUUUUUCAUCUUCAUAUCAUCCCCGUCAACCUUCAACAACAAGAAUCCCAGAAGAAAAUGAAGAAAACCUAACGCUUUUGAAUUAAAACUAACGGAAAUGACCAAAAUGUGUAACGGAAAGAAGUUAAGGGACCAAAAUAAAUCAAAUUUUAAUUAAGGGACCAAAGCGAUACUACCUAAAUAGUUAAGGGACCAAAAAUGAAAUUUAACCUAUAAAAUACAUAGUAUAGAAAAUAAUAGGGAAAAUUACAUUUUUAAUCUCUUAACUUAAUUUCAUAUAACAGUUUAAUCCUUUAUCUUCUUUCAUUUCAAUUUUACCCUACUGAGCCUUUUGCAUAUUGAUUUCAAUUUCCUGAAUAUAUAUUAUUGUGGUAGUCAUAUAGGUUGUAUGCCUAGAUGUGAAUGUAUUAGUUCCAACUCUAACUGCCCUCGCCAUUUUGUAGUAAUAUUUCAGACGAAGAAUGUUGAAGCAGUGACUUGUCCGAAUUCGGGUUCCAUUUGUUCACCAUUUGAGAUGCCACCAUGUGGCAACGCCAAAGAUUGUCGUUAUAUCCCUUAUUUUUUAUUUGGAGGUAUUUUCCAAAGUCCAAGUGGUUCUGAACAUAAUAUGAAGAUGAUCGAGGAACAUCCUAACUUAUGCCAAACUCAUGCUGAAUGCUUCAAGAAGGGAAGUGGAAACUUUUGUGCCCGUUAUGCUAAUGCUGAUAUCGAAUAUGGAUGGUGUUUUGCCUCUGUAGCCGAAGCAGAACAGUACUUCAAAAUUGGAUCAAACACUGCAGUAAAAAGUUUUUUCAAGAUUGCAGUUUUUUCAAGAUUGCCUCUAACUCCAAAGAAAAAGGCUACCUUAAGAUGGCUUUGGAAAUUGCCACUUAAGAAUGAUAUGUCUAAAACCAACCAUGCAUUAUCAUGCAUAUGUACUACUUUAAAUAAAACAACCUUUGUUUCCAAUUGAUCGAUUGGAUUUUGAUAAAAAAUGCAUCUGCAUUGGUGUGGUAUUGUAAUAUAAAAGUAUUGGAAUGUUGCUUUGAAAGUAAUGCUCUGACUUGUACAUUACUCGUUCUUUUAAUUUUGCAGGUUAUAAUUUGUUUGCGGUUUUAGUUCUUUCAAUGUUUAAAUUUUAUUUUUAUAUGGAGCCAAACAUAAAAACAAUUCGUGUUACAAAUUGAGAAAGAGGCCAUGAAAGGAUGAGCUUUUGAAUGAAAUUUACAAGAACACAAGACUACAAGAUUGCGUAUAGAUCAUUUUUUUCUUAUAAUUUGAAGGUCAGCGAGUCUAAAGAGGUGAAGCUUAUGAGGACUCUCAUACUCUAAAGGCCAUGUCAGCAUCAGAAGCCUGUGACUGAUUUUCUCACUUAGAGUUUGUUACAAAUUUUAUAUCAUAUAAAUUCUUAAAUCUUUAGAGUCCAAUCUAAAUUGUAUUGAUUACAUCUCUGAUUGUAUAUCAAACUUAAAAUUCAAACAAUCUUUUAUUUUAGUGAGAGGAACUAGUAUAACCAUACAAUAUGAUUCCAACAACACUUCUACCUCCGAAAAAAAACAAUUAUUCAUCCUGACCUACAUCUUUAAAAUGUUUAAUAAGCAUGUAUUUUGUUAAAUUAACAUACUUCAUAUGGAUUUUUCCAUUGUCAAAUCAUUCCAGAGAUCAGACAUGAAUGAAUUUGAAAUGAUAGAGGUUGCAUAAAAAAUAGCAUGAAAGUAAAUGACAUCUAAAUACUAAUUUUUUUGAUAAAAUAAUUAAAUAAAUGACAUCCAAACCUUACCAAAGUAGUUCAUCUUAAUGUUAGAACGAUAGAUGAAGCCUACAUUAGGUUGGAUCACCGUAUUAGACUAAGAGUAACCACACAAGUUAUAUUGACACUACAUAUUCACUAAAAAUGUAUAAUAAACAUGUAUAUUGUUACCUCAUCAUAAAUUCAUAAUACAUCUACAAUUUUUUUAUAUUGUGAUCCCACCAAAGACCAAAAUAAAAAAAAUUUAAAAUAAUAAAAGUUAGACAAAGAUAUUGCAUGAAGGUGAAUGACAUCUAAAAACUUAUAUUUAAUUCUUUCAAAAAGAAAAAAAAACUUAUAUUUAAUAUAACAAAAUUAAGAAAAUGACAUCCUAAAACUAAAAAAAUUAUUAUAAUGUUUGGAUUUCAUAGGGAUCGUACAAUGGAUUGGAUCAUCACAUUUGAACAAGAGAAACCCCACAAGUAAGAUAGACACCACAUCUCUAUCUCAAACAUGAAGACAUUAGGUAUAUUGGUCAUCUCACAUAUAUGUUGCUCAAUAUAUACUCUUGCAUCAAAAGUAGAAGUGUAACUCACUAAUGACACAUUAACAUCUCUCUCAACAUCUACUUUUACAUAAAAUGUGAAAUUUUAACUCGCAUUUGACACAUUAUCAUCUCUGCAUUAGGUGUCAAACUCUCUCUGCCAGUGAUCGACACCAAGAACCACUCCCACUCCCCCAAAAUGUUGAACCGGGAUAUCAUGCAAUUGUUGUGCAUUAUGAGCGAGCCAACACCUAUGUAGAUCCACACGUUUUAAAAACAGAGACCACAUAAGUGAAAAUGAUACCACAUCUUCAUCCAAAAGGCUUAAGUAUGAUAUUUUUUACUUAUUUGUUGUUCAACCUGCACUCUUUUAUCCAAUGUUCGACUUUAAGUGACAUUUGUUCCAUCUGAAUUAUCUCUAUUAAGUAUGACGAAAUUUUAGCUCAUGUUUGGCACGGGUGUCCAUACUAGUUUCAUGUGAUUUGUAGAACCAAAACAUUUCCUGUGAUUUAUUUUCUUAAAAUAGGACUGUUCUAUUUCAUUGCUGCCACAUAUUGCAUUGCUACAAGGCUGUUCUAUUUCAUUGCUGCCACAUAUUCCAUUGCUGCGCAUGCAAGGCUGUUCUGUUUCAAAUUCAAACCACUUUGAAUUGUUUUGCCAUACCUGUUUCUUUAAUUUUUAGAAUCCAUCAAUUGAUAGGUAUAAUUUCUUUUUACUUAAUUUAAUAUGAACGCAUUGUUUACGAGUUUAAUGUUUAAUUUAAUCAUGCGUGAGUAGUUUUAAUUGAGUUCAAAAUGAAGGGACCGUUGUAUCGACGAAACUCAUGUAAAUUGCGCUCCCCUUUUAUUGUAAUGAGAAUUUACAUAUUUGUUUUGAAAUUUUUUGUCUUGCAAUUUAAAAAAUCUACUACGAAAGUAGAGACAUCGAGAUAUCGUUUACGUAUCGAAAGAACGAAAACGACAUCUAACUUAGAAAAAUUUGAAUUGAAAAGGUUAAAGCGAAAACGCUCCUUUUCUUUUAAUUAAGAACUUAUUGAAUUAAGAAAAGGGAUUUUUUAAGUUUUUAAGCAUGUCAUUAUACUCUGUCGAAAAAAAAAAAUGUAAUUAUACACUACCAAAUUGGUAGUUAUGAGUCUAAAAAAUCCGACAACCUAUUGCGAAAGCAAAUGGUGUCUCUUGUUCAAUAUUUUCUGCAAAAGUUUUUUACUCGUUACUGUUUAAUUAUCGCAAAGUUACUUAAGUGACGAAGGUCGACGGAAACCGUCGUUUUUGUCUCUAUCCUUAUUUUCAAUACUUUAUUUUUACAUGUAAAACCAUAUUAUUUUGAAAUAGUCUUAGAUAAGCAUAGGAACGACAAGAAGCGGUACUUGUUAAAUUGGUCUCUGUGGAUACGAUACUUUUUAUACUAAAACUAACAUAGUCGUACACAUGCGGCCCUAUUACUAUGAUCUUAUCCUAUAUUCUUAGAAAAAAUGAAUCAACAUUGUUGAAACAAAUGGAAAUUAACAUCUCUGUAAAAAAAAUUGCGGAAACAGAAUGCAUACAUUUAGAGAUAAAAAUAUUUAUAACAUUCUAUGAAAACACAAUAAUAAAGGGUAAUAUCAAGCUCAGAAAUUACAUGAAUUUGUUACGUUUGUCACAUUUACAUUGUCUACGUGGAAACCUGAUAUACUCAACCCGUGUUCUUGCUUGUCAAUUUAUAAUAAUGGAGCUGUAGUGUCAGCUAGUAAAUGCAUCGCUCUAUAAAUUGAUGCAUGCAACAAUGAACUAAUGCAACAACAAGAUAAGUUCAUAACAAAUAAUCCUUUCUUCUGAUCAAAUAAUGACUUAUGUUAACCUCAUUACUUUGGCUCUCUUCCUCGUUGCCACACUCAGUAUGUAUUUUUUUAAUGUGUAUUAGGUGUACACUGUUCUUAUUGCGUUGUUAAAGCGUAUAAAAACACACACACACACACACACAUAUAUAUAUAUAUAUAUAUAUAUAUAUAUAUAUAUAUAUUUAUUUGCUAAAACACACCCACUAGUUUUUAUGUGGGAGUGUUUUAGCAAGUUUAUAUAACUACUUUUUAGUUAUAACAUGCUAAAACACACCUUCUAAAAAAUAAGUGGGUGUAUCCUAGAAAAUGCCUAUAGGAGUUGCUAACAUACACCCACUUAUUUUUUAGAAGGUGUGUUUUAGCAACAUUCACCUUAAGGUGUAUUUAACAACUUUUUAGUUAUAUCUUUGCUAAAACACACCUUAAUAAAAAUCAGUGGGUGUAUCCUAACAAACCCCUAUAUAUAUAUUAUAAAUAAUAGUUUUUGCAAGUUUAUAUUAUGCCUAGAUGUGUAUGUAUUAGUUCCAACAUUAACUGCCCUCGCCAUUUUGUAGCAACAUUUCAGACGAAGAAUGUUGAAGCAUUGACUUGUCCGAAUUCGGGUUCCCUUUGUUCACCAUUUGAGGUACCAGCAUGUGGCAACACCAUAGAUUGUCGUUGUGUCCCUUAUUUUCUAUUUGGAGGUAUUUGCCAUAGUCCAACUUCUUCAUUGAACGAGUAACAUCCUAACUUAUGUCAAACUCAUGCCGAGUGCAUCAAGAAGGGAAGUGGAAACUUUUGUGCUCGUUAUGCUAAUGAUGAUAUCGAAUAUGGAUGGUGUUUUGCCUCAGUCGCCGAAGCAGAACGAUACUUCAAAAUUGGAUCAAACACUGCAGUAAAAAAUUUGUUCAAGAUUGCCUCUAAAUCUAAAGAACAAGACUACCUUAAGAUGGCUUUGGAAAUUGCAACUUAAGAAUGAUAUGUAUAAAACCAACUAUGCAUUAUCAUGCAUAUACUACUUUAAAUAAAACAACCUUUGUUUCCAAUUGAUCAAUUGGAUUUCUUGAAUAUCCGUUUGGAUUUUGAUAAAAAAUGCAUGUGCAUGGGUAUGGUAUUGUAAUAAAAAA